GACGAACGCUGGCGGCGUGCUUAACACAUGCAAGUCGAACGCUGAAGCUUGGUGCUUGCACUGGUUGGAUGAGUGGCGAACGGGUGAGUAAUACGUGAGUAACCUGCCCUUGACUCUGGGAUAAGCCUGGGAAACUGGGUCUAAUACUGGAUACGACAUGCCACUGCAUGGUGGUGUGUGGAAAGGGUUUUACUGGUUUUGGAUGGGCUCACGGCCUAUCAGCUUGUUGGUGGGGUAAUGGCCUACCAAGGCGACGACGGGUAGCCGGCCUGAGAGGGUGACCGGCCACACUGGGACUGAGACACGGCCCAGACUCCUACGGGAGGCAGCAGUGGGGAAUAUUGCACAAUGGGCGGAAGCCUGAUGCAGCGACGCCGUGUGAGGGAUGACGGCCUUCGGGUUGUAAACCUCUUUCAGCACGGAAGAAGCGAGAGUGACGGUACGUGCAGAAGAAGCGCCGGCUAACUACGUG
rnacentral:rRNA from 1 species